rnacentral:rRNA from 1 species
GAUUAACGCUGGCGGCGUGCCUAACACAUGCAAGUCGAGCGGCAGCGAGUUUUACACUGAAUUCUGGAAGCUUCUAGUUGAAAGAGAAGAUUUAUUCAAGAAUUUUGUGUAAAAUGUCGGCGAGCGGCGGACGGCUGAGUAACGCGUGGGAACGUACCCCAAAGUGAGGGAUAACGCAUCGAAAGGUGUGCUAAUACCGCAUAUGGUCUUCGGAUUAAAGCCUUCGGGCGCUUUGGGAACGGCCUGCGUAAGAUUAGAUAGUUGGUGGGGUAAUGGCCUACCAAGUCGACGAUCUUUAACUGGUGUGAGAGGAUGAGCAGUCAGACUGGAACUGAGACACGGUCCAGACUCCUACGGGAGGCAGCAGUGAGGAAUCUUCCACAAUGGGCGAAAGCCUGAUGGAGCAACGCCGCGUGCAGGAUGAAGGCCUUCGGGUUGUAAACUGCUUUUAUAAGUGAGGAUUAUGACAGUAACUUAUGAAUAAGGAUCGGCUAACUACGUG